CUCCCGGUGAUCCUGCCGGACCCGACUGCUAUCAGAGUGAGAUUAAGCCAUGCGAGUUAACGUAGCAAUACGUGGCGCACGGCUCAGUAACACGUAGUCAACAUGCCCAGAGGACGUGGAUAACCUCGGGAAACUGAGUCUAAACCGCGAUAAGUGAGGAUUUCUGGAAUGGUUCCUGACUAAAAUCUAUAUGGCCUUUGGAUUGGACUGCGUCCGAUCAGGCUGUUGGUGAGGUAAUGGCCCACCAAACCUGUAACCGGUACGGGCUCUGAGAGGAGGAGCCCGGAGAUGGGUACUGAGAAAAGGACCCAGGCCCUAUGGGGCGCAGCAGGCGCGAAACCUCUGCAAUAGGCGAAAGCCUGACAGGGUUACUCUGAGUGACUUUCGCUAAGAAAGUCUUUUGACAUCUCUAAAAAUGGUGUAGAAUAAGGGGUGGGCAAGUCUGGUGUCAGCCGCCGCGGUAAUACCAGCACCCCGAGUGGUCGGGACGAUUAUUGGGCCUAAAGCAUCCGUAGCCGGUUUUACAAGUCCUCCGUUAAAUCCAGCUGCUUAACAGAUGGGCUGCGGAGGAUACUAUAAGACUAGGAGGCAGGAGAGGCAAGCGGUACUCAGUGGGUAGGGGUAAAAUCCGUUGAUCCAUUGAAGACCACCAGUGGCGAAGGCGGCUUGCCAGAAUGCGCUCGACGGUGAGGGAUGAAAGCUGGGGGAGCAAACCGGAUUAGAUACCCGGGUAGUCCCAGCUGUAAACGAUGCAGACUCGGUGAUGGACUAGCUUUAUGCUAGUCCAGUGCCGCAGGGAAGCCGUUAAGUCUGCCGCCUGGGUAGUACGGUCGCAAGACUGAAACUUAAAGGAAUUGGCGGGGGAGCC
rnacentral:rRNA from 1 species